rnacentral:lncRNA from 1 species
GCCGAUUUCCAAGGUACAGCUGGACACCAAUAGCCUCUUCUUAUCUUUUCCAACGUUACUUUCUGUGCAGUCGAAUAGCUUCUCUUUUAGUUUUCAAUUCUUCCUGCACAAAAUCCUCUCUAAUCUGGGCAUAUUCUCCAUCGUCCUUCCGGGUUCAAAUGGAAAAGGUCUAGGUUCGCUCUCAACUGGUAUGUUUCCUCUCUUUUCUUUAAAGAUUCUUCUGCUACUUUGUGGGCAUGGACGUUGUUUGUUUUGUUUAUAAUCUGGAACCUGAUUUCAUGAAACCAUGCUUUCUUACUUUGAGUGUCACUGAUUAUCGCCCCGAUGACUGACUUAUCUUGUUCUUGUGAUUGCCAUUUUUUAAUAACUGAGCAAGAAUCUCCCCUUAUCAUGACUGAGCGAAGGUCCAACGAUAUUCCUAACUUUACAGCCUGUAGUCCUGCAUAGGCUUCAACUGUGAAAGGCGAUGGAACAUUUGAGUGUAAUACAGUUUUUGAUGCCAAAAGUUCCCCCGAACAGUCCUAAGCCACCAAACCUGAAGCUGAUUUAAAGUUUCUUUUAUCGAAGGCUGCGUUAAACUUGAUUUCCGCCCUAGUAUUAAUUUCUUGACUGCUAUGAUUUUUGUCUAUGGUCAAGCUUGAUCUAUCUAUUAUACUUGUAAGUUCAGCCAUAUAGCUUUGUAUUCUUUGUGAUAACUCUCUUGCUGUCUCUGUUUUCCUUUCAUGGACAAGCCUGUUUCUCAAGUUCCAGAUGAGCCAUAUUCCACAGCAGACCAUUCGGCACUGUUCAGAAAAGAAACUCUUAAAGAUCUAGGUAAGCCAGUCCCUUAUACUUAGAUUUGUGCUAUGUAGUACCCACGAGAAGUCUAACCUUUUCCAUACCUCUGUUGUUAUAGGACAUUACCAAAAAACGUGAAUACUGUCUUCCUCUUUGUUUUCGCAUCGAGGACACACUACAUUAACCGUUACUCAUUUAGAUCUUAGGCUGACAAGAAUAGAAAUAUAAUUCCAAGAAAUACGCCAUAUUGUGAUUGUAAUCUUCGUAGGCAUCUAUAGAUUCCAAAGUUUUUUUUUUUUGUAGAAAUCUUUUAGAUUCGUUUGUAUUAAAAGAUUAGAAUCUAAGCUAGCCUCCUGUAAUAGUUUAUAGGCGCUUCUUAUUGAAAAUUUACCGGAUGUUUCCCCUCUCCAUACUUGGAAAUCGUCAUAAGGUGUUUCCGAAAUAGGGGUCUGCAAGAUUUGUUGAGCUACUUCUGUUGGAAAGGUACUAUUAAUUUUGUCUUUUAUGUUCUUGUUGAAGCUUUAAUUAAGUCUGAUAUUAACUCUAUUCUGUUGUUUCUAUUGCUCCGUUCGUUCGUGAUCUGUCCUUGGAUCUAUCUAUACUUCCAUACAGAAAUUCCAUCGCCUCUUCCAACUCUCCAACCCAGUCCAUUCUGUAGUAAGCCAUUUGCAGCCCAGAUAAUCCUCCAAGUAAGAGAAGGUAAGUUCCCUAGGUGAGAAUUAAGAAAAUCUGACUGCAGAUAAUAUUUAGCUUUAAGAGCUCUCGCCAAUAACGAAUUCGGAUAAGUAAUGAGGUGCCACCCCUGCUUGGCUAAUAAAGCGAUAUUAAACUGACUAAAAUUUCUAAAACCAAGGCCCCCUUUAACCUUUAAGAUACACAGAUUCCUCCAUGUACACCAAUGUAUUCCUUUUUUCCUAUGCCCCUUUUCCCACCAAAACUUGGCAAUAAUACUCUCUAAUUCAACAUAUAACGAAUUUGGUAAAAGAAAACAGGCCAUUGUAUAUGUUACACCCCUUAUCCGUGUUCGAGGCCGGGAUAGGAUAUGAGGCAUUACCAGGUUUAAACAUAUAUAAUCACAUAAAAUCAACCAUAAAAUUUUGUCUAGAUCAAAAACAUUCAUACAUAUGUAUGAUGUCCUUUAGACGGGCUUAUGAGGCUAUAUACAUGUAUUAAAGAUGAUUCGGGACUAAAUUGAAAAUUUUAAAAACUUUUGGGUAAACUUUAAAAAUUUUAUCAUGAAACAGGGUCACAAGCUUGUGCGGGUAAGCCAUAUGGUCACAAAUGCCCGUGUGGCUUGGGACACGCUUGUGUCCUCAGGCCGUGUAACUCUCUGUUUAUGAUGUCAUCACAAAAUAAGGGCACACGGCCAAAGCACACACUCAUGUCCCAAGGCUAUGUCCUUCACACGGUCGAGACACAUGAUCGUGUCUUAGCAUGUGUGACCAAUUCGAUGUUAAAGUACAAGAUACAGGAGAUACACGGCCGGACUACACGCCCAUGGGGGUAGGCUGUGUGUCACACAAGACUUAAACACACGCCCGUGUGUCUACUUGUGUAGACAAAUAAGGUUAUUUUCCAAGCCAUUUGCCACCCAUAGUUGUACACACACUUAUACAUCUCUAUAGCAAUUAACAUACUUAAUUGAGCAAUUAUACAUCCACAAUCAAGGCUCAAGCAUGGCAUCCUCACAAUAACACAUGCAUGCACGUAACAUUUCUCUUAUUCAAGUCCAAACUUACUAGAACACAUAUAAUAUAUAUAAUUGGUUUACCUCCAAUUUAUCCAUUUAUGUCAUGAUUAUCAACAUGCCAACAAAUCUAAUUUAAAUCUUCAAGCAUUCAUGCCUUAUAACAAAAUCGAAGUCUUCAAAGCAUUAGCACAUACAUGUAUACAAAAUUUGAUUUACGACCAUUUAAGCCAUAUAAGCAAAUUUGCAUGGCUACCCACAACAUCAAUCUAUUAACUAUUACAAGCCAAUGCAUUUGGCUAAAUUAUAACGACAUAUUCACAAAGUGACUUAGUCCCUAUACAUGCCAUAAACUUAAAAGAUUUGCAUAUGUUUUUACCCAACGUGAUAACUUGAUAAUGUGAUGACAUCUCCUGCAAUCUCCAACCCGAACUAGCGAAAAUAACCUAUAAGAGAUGAAAAAAGGAGGGGAGUAAGCUAUAAAGCUUAGUAAGUUCAUAUGAAAAUAAUAAUAAAUUUUAUUAAUAUGUUUUUACCAAAUUCUUACAACAUGCUCUCAAGGUAUCACAAUUAUAAUUGCAUGUUAAUCCAUUAUUUGAUCAAAUUCCAAUUAAGUUGUCUACUCAAGUCAUAGACACUAAAUUUUUUAUAUCUAGAUCUAUGGAGCUCCAAUUUAAAAUCUGUUAAUCUUUUCUAAAACUAGACUCACAUAUCUUCUUACCAUAAAAUUUUUAAAAUUUUUGGUUCAACCAAUUAGUAUAGUUUAUUCUUCAAAUUUACCCUUUUUUUGCUGUUCGAUAGUUCUGACCCCUCUUUACUAAAAUUUAAUUAUCUUCUCAUACGGGAUUCGAAUGAUGUUCCCAUUUGUUUAUUUUGAAAAUAAACUCAUUAAAAAAUCUAAGAAUAUAAAUUAUAACCCAUAAUUAUUUUUUUACAAUUUUUGGUUAUUUUCCCAAAUUAGAACAAGGGAUGUAAAAAACAUUUUGACUUUGUCUCACGAAAAUUCAAAUAUCUCAUAAUCUGAUAUUAUUUUUCUUAUACCGUUUCUUCUAUGUGAAACUAGGCUCAAUAAUAUUUAAUUCCAUAUUUUAUUCAGCCUCUAACUCAUUUUAUAUUAUUUUUGGUGCAUUUUCAAAUUCGGACUGCUACUGCUGUCCAAAACUGUUUUUGUAUAAAAUAAUUAUAACUAAGUCAAUAACACUUUUACCAAUUAUUCCAACCAUCAUGGUAGAAAUACAUAUCUUACUCAUUUGUAUCCUUACCAAUAAUGCGUCAUAAACCAAAUUCACUUCACCUGAGUUAUAUGUACAUACCCGUACCACUUGUAAUACGAUCACGUACCUUCUCGUUUUGAACAUACCCGUUGGAUCAUUCAGAAUACCAAGGGUUACUUGGAAAUGUCAUACAUAUAGUAUUGUUUCAAUGCCAUAUUCCCGAUAUGGUCUUACAUGAAAUAUCAUAUUGAUGCCAUGUCCCCGACAUAGUCUUAUACAAAAUCACAUACCAAGACCAUAUCCCGAAUAUGGUCUUAUACGGAAUCUUAAUAACCUUAUUGUUUUGACAUUUGUACCCUAUUCAUUUCUAAGAUUCAUUCGGGAUUUCUCAUUCAUCGGAACGUUGUCAUAAUCAUCAUUGAUAAAUUUCAUGGGAAAAAAAUGUACAAUUCAUGCAAUACCAAAAUAUAAAAUACAUAACAUAAGGUAGUAUCUUUUACACAUGAACUUACCUCGACACUAAAGUUAUCAAAAAGUGACCUAACCAUCGAUUCCUCGUUUUUCCUCUGUUCUAGGUCCAAACCUCAAUUUCUUCGAUCUAUAAUGUCACAUUUAGUCUAAUUAUUAGUCACAUUAUUCAAUGUGGUCCAAAUAUCAUAUUUUAGCAAAAUUAUGUUUUUGCUCUUGAACUUUGUCAUAAUUACACUUUUUCCCCUAGACUCGUAAAAUGAAAUCCACUCAAUUUCUUUGUUACCCAAGCCUAGUCGAACCAUUUUCAUAACUAUAACGUCUCAAAAAUUUCAUUAAAACACACUCUUACUACACAUUUUAUAACUUUCUCAAAACGGUCCUUUUUGCACCUUUUUUACCAAAAAAUACUUUAACACAAGAUGUUUAUCUAACACCCAACAUUCAUUUUCUUCCAUUAGAUAUCAAAACACAAGCAUGUCCUUCAUGGGUAAGUUUUUAGACAUGAGCCCUAGCUUAAAAUAAUGGUAGAAAUAGGUAAAUCGAGUUACAGGAACUUCAAAAAUAUAAAGAACUUUGAAAACGGGGCUAGGGAUCACUUACUAUUGAGCUUGAAAGUUUGAACAAAACCCUAGCCAUGGCUUCUAUAGGGGUUUCGGCUGGAGCAAGAAGAUGGAGGCCAAUUUUGGCUAUUUUGGGCUUUUAAUUCACUUAUUUACUAGAUUACCUAAAUGUUUCUAACUUAAAAAUUGUUCAUUUCACCUAUCUCAUGUCCAUUUUUGUCCAAAAAAUGUCCAAUGGUCCAAUUAAUAUAUAAAGACCUCUAAUUUAAAGUCCAUAGCAAUUUGAAACCUUUAACAUCUAAAACUCACAUUUUGCACUUUUUACGAUUUAGUCCUUUUGACCAAAUAAGUGCCCAAACAUCAAAAUUUUUAAAUGAAAAUUUCACGAAUUCAUUCUGUGAAAUUGUAAUAUCCUGAAUUAGGGCUUAAUCGGAAUAAUGGUUUCGUAACCACAAAUUCGAGAUAGAAAUAAUUAUUUUAUAAUUAUUUUGAUGAUUAUUAUAUGAUUGCAUGAUUUUGUGAAAAUUUCAUGAUGAAAUUCUAUGCCUAAAGUGCUUAAAUUGAAAGUAGGGACUAAAUCGAAUAAGUUGCAAAAUUUGCAUUCUAGAAGUUUUUAGUAUGAAAUUGCAUUGAAAUAUUAAUUAAGAGACCUUAAAUAGCAAUUUUACCAAUUUUAAGUUCACGGACAAAAUUAAAACAUGGAAGGAAUUUUAAACUUUAGUAAGGAGGGGCAUUUUGGUUAUUUGGAUAUUAAAUGAAAUAAAAUGGGAAAAAUAACACAAAAUUGGUCAUCAUCCUCCUUAGUUGCAUCCGAAUUCUCCCUCUCUCUAUAGCUAGGGUUUCUUCAACUUUCAAGCUCCAUAGUAAGUGAUUCCAAGCCCCGUUUUAAUGUUCUUUACAUUUUUGGAAUCCCGGAAGCUCGAUUAAGCUUAUGCUAGCAAUAAUUCAACCUAGGGUUUAUAUUUGGAAAAAUACCCAUAGGUGAAAUUUGUGUAUUUUGAUGUUUUAUGAUAGAAUAUGGGGUUUUAAAUUAUGUUAGACAACUUGUGAUACUCGGUUUUGAGUGAAAACGAGUAAAAGGGCUUAAUCGGUAAAAAUACCUAAUAGUCACAAGUAUAUGUUAGAGUGAGAAUUUGAUGUUGCCAUAGAAGGGAAAAGUGAUCAGCAUAUUAUAAAACAUAAGAAUAAGGAAUAAAGUAUAAUUCCCGGGCCUAGGGGUAAAAGUGUAAUUAUGCAAAAGUUUAGGGGCAAAAGUGUAUUUUUUUCAAAGUUUGUAUUAAAAGUUGUUUUGAUGAAUGUAUGUAUUAAAUAAGAUUAAUUUGGUAUUAUAGAUCAAGAGAAACGAGAUUCAAGUCGCGAUCGAAGAAAAGAAAAGAUUGUGGACUAAAUUGCAAAAUCUUUAUAUUUUGGUACCAAUGUAAGUUCAUGUGUAAAUAAUGUAGCAUAAUUAUUAUUUUUAAAUUAUUGAUGUUAAUUAUAUGAUACGCUGAUUUUUAAUCGUGAAAUAUUAUGCUUUGUGGUUAAUGUUGAGUAAUAUGCAAAUUAUGUUUACUACUUGAUAAAUAUGAAUUGCUACCGAGUAUUAAUUCUGAUAUUCCAUAGAAGACGACAAAUGUGAUAUCGAGGGAAAAAGCCCGUUUGAACCUUAGGAAUAGAUUAGGAUACAAGUGACAUGUCACUAGGAUGGUUGAGCAUCCGAACUCGCUGAGUUGAGUCCGAGUUCACUUAUGGAUGCGAAUGUCUGAACUCGUUGAGUUGAGUCCGAGUUCGUGAAAUGUAACUAGGAAUCCGAACUCGUUGAGUUGAGUCCGAGUUCACUUAUGGAUGCGAACGCCCGAACUUGUUGAGUUGAGUCCGAGUUCACUUAGGGGCGGGUUACAUGAUUUCUUGAUUACAUAUGAGGCACUUAUGUGCAAAUUAUCCGUGUAUCCGAGUUGUAUUCUGAUGUGUUCAACGGGUGAAAAUUUCUAGUGAAAUGGAAGAACACUUAAGAUGCAAGCGACGAUAUGGUAAGUGUUGUGAAAUGGACACUUUGGACAGGUAUGUUCUUAACCCUCGGGUUGAAAUUAGAUACAACAACGAUAAGGUGGUAAGAUGAUGAAUGGUGUUUAGAAAUGUGAUAUAUGUUUUGGUGAUACCAUGCUAAAGUUGUUUGGUAUAUUUGUAUUGUUAUGUUACUUGUUAUUUACAUAUGAACUUACUAAGCAUUUAUGCUUACUCCCUCCUCUUUAUUUACUGUAGUUUUGAACAAGCCAGCUCGGGAAUCAGGACGGGUCGAAGGUUCGAUCACACUAUCCAAAGGACUUUCAUCUGGGUAAAUGGCUUGUAAAACUUAAGUAUGGCAUGUAUAGCAAUAUAUUUAUUUUGUGUAAAUAAUUUUAUGAUAUAGCAAUGAUUGGUUGAGAAAAUGUUUGAUAUUGAUAAGUCAUGGUGAUGGUUAAAUUUAGAUCAUGUUUGAUAUCAUGGAAGUUUAAUAGGUUAUCUAGUUCAUAACAACUCAUGAAAAGAUGAAACUUGCCUUAAAACAGAAUAUUGCUGCAGCAAUGAC